AGAGUUUGAUCCUGGCUCAGGACGAACGCUGGCGGCGUGCCUAAUGCAUGCAAGUCGUACGCACCGGGCUUGCCCGGUGAGUGGCGCACGGCUGAGGAACACGUGGGCACCUGCCCGUCCGUGGGGGAUAACCGGCCGAAAGGCCCGCUAAUCCCGCAUACCCUCCCGCUCCGGCGGGCGGAAAGCCGCAAGGCGCGGACGGAGGGGCCUGCGGCCCAUCAGGUGGUUGGUGUGGUAACGGCGCACCAAGCCGGUGACGGGUAGCUGGUCUGUGAGGACAACCAGCCAGACUGGGACUGAGAGACGGCCCAGACUCCUACGGGAGGCAGCAGCAAGGAAUUUUCCCCAAUGGGCUCACGCCUGAGGGAGCAACGCCGCGUGCGGGACGACGGCCUUCGGGUUGUAAACCGCUUUUGGUGUGGACGAUGAUGACGUACCCGCCG
rnacentral:rRNA from 1 species